AGGCCAGCGCCUGAAUUUCGGAUCACAAACUUGGUGGAUGAGUGGCAGUACAAGGCCUGGCUCACCUUCACGGAUUCCACUGGGCGCCAAUGCGUUGGUCAGUACUGCCACCCGGAUUCACCGCGGCCCGGUUCCUGGUUCAACGGCCGCGUGCUGUCGUUUUCGAAGGUCAAGCUCUUCUCCAACAAGAAAAAGAUCCCGAACCCGCCUCCGAUCACUCUGAGGUGUUACCGCACUUACCACAUCCAAGUGAAUGUUGGGAUUGUGGACGAUAACGGAUACAUCGUCAGCGCAUCGGUCGUCCGGCAAUCUGUUGGUGCCGACUUCAUUGCCGUCACCAGUAGCAUUACUAGGCGUCCAGUCAACAGCGGUACAAGACAGGCGCGCUGACUGAAGUUCUCAAGGCUGUUUAUGUAAUAACAGUAAUAAAUAAAUAUUUAUUUGUGAGUACAAACAGUCCCUUUUUUUUUUUCCUUGUUUAAUGACAUUUUACAGUACAACCAAGACAAAGAAUGCAAUGGUGGUGUGCCUACUGAGGUAUAGAAAAAUACACCAGCUGCACACAUGGCGAUGCUGCAUGUAGGUUGUCACCCUGAAAAGAAAGAAAACAAAGCGGAAGCGCUCACCGCAGAUAAAUAAGAACACCCUAGUACCCUUGCAUACCUCAGAAAAAGUCCAUUACGCACAGAA